UACGUAGGUGGCAAGCGUUGUCCGGAUUUACUGGGCGUAAAGAGCGCGCAGGCGGUCGUUCAAGUCGCGUGUGAAAGCCCCCGGCUCAACUGGGGAGGGUCACGCGAUACUGAUCGACUCGAAGGCAGGAGAGGGAAGUGGAAUUCCCGGUGUAGUGGUGAAAUGCGUAGAUAUCGGGAGAAACACCAGUGGCGAAGGCGACUUCCUGGCCUGUUCUUGACGCUGAGGCGCGAAAGCUAGGGGAGCAAACGGG
rnacentral:rRNA from 1 species